GACGUAGGGUGCGAGCGUUUGUCCGGAUUUAUUGGGCGUAAAGAGCUCGUAGGCGGUUCGAUAAGUCGGGUGUGAAACCUCCAGGCUCAACCUGGAGACGCCACCCGAUACUGUCGUGACUAGAGUCCAGUAGGGGAGCGUGGAAUUCCUGGUGUAGCGGUGAAAUGCGCAGAUAUCAGGAGGAACACCAGCGGCGAAGGCGGCGCUCUGGGCUGGAACUGACGCUGAGGAGCGAAAGCGUGGGGAGCGAACAGG
rnacentral:rRNA from 1 species